rnacentral:rRNA from 1 species
CAGCUCAGGACGAACGCUGGCGGCGUGCCUAAUACAUGCAAGUAGAACGCUGACUACUUUAGCUUGCUAGAGUAGAAGGAGUUGCGAACGGGUGAGUAACGCGUAGGUAACCUGCCUACUAGCGGGGGAUAACUAUUGGAAACGAUAGCUAAUACCGCAUAACAGUGUUUAACACAUGUUAGAUGCUUGAAAGAUGCAAUUGCAUCACUAGUAGAUGGACCUGCGUUGUAUUAGCUAGUUGGUGGGGUAACGGCCCACCAAGGCGACGAUACAUAGCCGACCUGAGAGGGUGAUCGGCCACACUGGGACUGAGACACGGCCCAGACUCCUACGGGAGGCAGCAGUAGGGAAUCUUCGGCAAUGGGGGCAACCCUGACCGAGCAACGCCGCGUGAGUGAAGAAGGUUUUCGGAUCGUAAAGCUCUGUUGUAAGAGAAGAACGUGUGUGAGAGUGGAAAGUUCACACAGUGACGGUAACUUACCAGAAAGGGACGGCUAACUACGUGCCAGCAGCCGCGGUAAUACGUAGGUCCCGAGCGUUGUCCGGAUUUAUUGGGCGUAAAGCGAGCGCAGGCGGUUUAAUAAGUCUGAAGUUAAAGGCAGUGGCUUAACCAUUGUUCGCUUUGGAAACUGUUAAACUUGAGUGCAGAAGGGGAGAGUGGAAUUCCAUGUGUAGCGGUGAAAUGCGUAGAUAUAUGGAGGAACACCGGUGGCGAAAGCGGCUCUCUGGUCUGUAACUGACGCUG